GGGGCUGCCCGGUUUUGACAGCAUAGGUCUUUGAAAGUGUAAGCAUGUCGUGCGUUGGAUAAUUAGCACGUAAAUCUGAAUACCCAAACUUCAAAUGGCGAAUCUAACUACGCCAUGGCUGCCUAAUCAGUGAUUAGACACCCAUUAUAGCCGCCGCACGUAGGCCGUUUACUCCUGCAGCCGCCGCCGAAUCAAAACUAUGUAAAAUAGGUACUCAUGGUUUCUGUGAGUGAGUGCUGAAACAACAACGGAUAAGGACAAGGUUGGUUAGUUACGCCCCUGCCGUGUCUCGAAAAAACAAUGCAUAAAUAAGCAUGUAGAAGCCUUUCGGAGGAUGUGUUUGGACGCGGGUUCGAUUCCCGCCAGCUCCACAA
rfam:Chitinophaga sancti strain DSM 784 genome assembly, contig: LX65DRAFT_scaffold00006.6